rnacentral:lncRNA from 1 species
GCUCCUACAAUUUGGAUCGAGCUAUACUCCCUUAGGUGUGGAUUGAGCUCUCUCACUGACUAUAUCCAGUGGACAGAGGUCAUCACCGACAAUCAGGCCUCGAUUGGGCAUCCCAUCGUCCCUAGUGACCUGGUUCUAUAUGUUGAGAAAAAUACCUUGAAAUUUGACCCACAGGUAAAACCACAGCGUGAAGAAGGCCC